ACCAGACUCCUACGGGAGGCAGCAGUGGGGGAUAUUGCACAAUGGGGGAAACCCUGAUGCAGCGACACCGCGUGAGUGAAGAAGUAAUUCGUUACGUAAAGCUCUAUCAGCAGGGAAGAAAAUGACGGUACCUGACUAAGAAGCCCCGGCUAACUACGUGCCAGCAGCCGCGGUAAUACGUAGGGGGCAAGCGUUAUCCGGAUUUACUGGGUGUAAAGGGAGCGUAGACGGUGAAGCAAGUCUGAAGUGAAAGGCGGGGGCUCAACCCCCGGACUGCUUUGGAAACUGUUUGACUGGAGUGCAGGAGAGGUAAGUGGAAUUCCUAGUGUAGCGGUGAAAUGCGUAGAUAUUAGGAGGAACACCAGUGGCGAAGGCGGCUUACUGGACUGUAACUGACGUUGAGGCUCGAAAGCGUGGGGAGCAAACAGGAUUAGAUACCCUCGUA
rnacentral:rRNA from 1 species